CUUAGGAAGAACCCUUGAUUAUUCGUUAGCUCGAUAGAUGAGCGAAUCGUUUAGACUUUUUGCAUGUUUAUCGUUGCGGCAUUUCAUCGAACACUUGUAAUGCACUUUUUUAGGUGUCGAUUAGCUCGAGAGAGGAAUCUACGGUUAGACGAAAUAGAUCCUUAGAGGCGCGAGUGUGAUCUAAGACUACAUUAGGAAAUUUCCAAGCCAUUAUAACCUAAAUAAUCCAGAUAACUUAUCGUUCAUCCAUGCAAUAUAAGCUUUAGUGGAUUCGAAUCCGAGCAACCUUCAUUCCCCAUUUGAAACUCAAUCUCUUGAAUUUGUUUUCCUUUGAUUUGAUUAGUUACUAAUUGGUUACUUGAAACAAUCUUAAAAGCAAUCAUAAACUGUUACUUGGUCUAGUUAGUUAAUCAACUUGAGUAAUACAAGUAGGAAGACCCUAGGGAAAUUUACGAUCCCACUAAAGCAAUCUAGUGGGUAAUUGAAAGCGGGGUAGCAUCCGUGCAUCAGUGGCCAAAACUGGCUUCACAACGGGGUUAGUGAUAAUCGGAGCAAUUCCAGACUUCCACCGAUGGAAAAACAAUGCUGAAUUAUGAAUAUACCAAGAGCGAUCAAGAAGCCACUCACUUAGGUUCACUGAAUUGAACUUAAAUAGGAAAAAAUUCUCUGCUAAGUGAGAGACAAACACAAAAAUCUCACAACCCCAAUGCCUAUUUUAGUCAUAAAUGAGAGCACACGGAUCGGCAGGAUAGAGCCAAGGAACUGACCUACCAAAGCCGAUUUCUAUCGGUGCUUACCCAAAUCAGUGACCGACUGCAAAAUCUUCAAAACAUCAUUCACCACAGCAACCCUCGAUUAUGGUAUGAACCUGAGAUCAGAUGAAGAGUCAGAGACCAAAGCGGCCCAUGACUUGGCGGAGGACGGGGGAGGAGAAGAUGCAGUGUCUACUAACAUAACAAUCCAAGCAAAAAUUAGGCAGAGAGGAGUAAGAAAAGAGGAAUUAAAGCAAGAGUCUGAAUGAUGCCAGAGAUUCGAAGAUCCACUGGUGAUCAAUCAAUACCAGUAAGGCCAUAGAGGAGCACACCCACAAAGAGAGCCCUUCCGGCACCGACGAUUAGGUGACGAAGAAAUCAGCUCAAGUUGAGAGAGAUCAACGAGCUGUACACGCGCUCUCGUUGUACGCUCAAAUUAUAAUGAAUAAAUUUUAGAAAGACUUAAAGAUUACAAAUUCUUAUAAUUAAUUAUAAGUCCUAUUUAUAAUAAAAUUUCCUAAUUAUGCUAGAAUAAUG
rnacentral:lncRNA from 1 species